rnacentral:rRNA from 1 species
GUAGGCGGCAGAGUAAGUAGGUAGUGAAAUCGUGGGGCUCAACACCAUACACAUUACCUAAACUGCUCAGCUAGAGAAUGGGAGAGGUCACUGGAAUUCCUUGUGUAGGAGUGAAAUCCGUAGAUAUAAGGAGGAACACCGAUGGCGUAGGCAGGUGACUGGCCCAUUUCUGACGCUCAGGCACGAAAGCGUGGGGAGCGACCGGGUUUAGAUACCCCGUUAGUCCACGCCGUAAACUAUGGAUGCUAGCUGUUGGACGUAUCGACCCGUUCAGUAGCGAAGCUAACGCGUUAAGCAUCCCGCCUGUGGAGUACGAGCGCAAGCUUAAAACAUAAAGGAAUUGACGGGGACCCGCACAAGCGGUGGAGCGUGUUCUUUAAUUCGAUGGUAAGCGAAGAACCUUACCCAGGCUUGACAUCCUUGGAAUUUCUGCGAAAGCAGAGAGUGCCUUCGGGAAUCAAGUGACAGGUGAUGCAUGGCCGUCGUCAGCUCGUGUCGUGAGAUGUUUGGUUAAGUCCAUCAACGAGCGCAACCCCUGUGAUUAGUUGAAUUUUUCUAAUCAGACUGCCCUGGUAACAGGGAGGAAGGAGGGGAUGAGGUCAGGUCAGUAUCUCCCUUACGCCUGGGGCUAGAAACACGCUACAAUGGCCGGUACAAAGGGCUGCCAACCCGCGAGGGGGAGCAAAUCCCAUCAAAGCCGGUCUCAGUUCGGAUAGCAGGCUGAAACUCGCCUGCUUGAAGAUGGAAUCGCUAGUAACGGUAGGUCAGCACACUACCGUGAAUACGUUCCCGGGUCUUGUACACACCGCCCGUCAAACCAUGGAAGUCACCAAUACCUGACGUCCUAGCUUGCCUAGGCCUAAGGUAGGGGGGAUGAUUGGGGUU